CUACGGUCCAGACUCCUACGGGAGGCAGCAGUGGGGAAUAUUGGACAAUGGGCGCAAGCCUGAUCCAGCUAUGCCGCGUGAGUGAGGAAGGCCUUAGGGUUGUAAAACUCUUUCAGUAGGGAAGAUAAUGACGGUACCUACAGAAGAAGUCCCGGCAAACUCCGUGCCAGCAGCCGCGGUAAUACGGAGGGGGCAAGCGUUGUUCGGAAUUAUUGGGCGUAAAGGGCAUGUAGGCGGUUUGGUAAGUUAGAGGUGAAAUCCCAGGGCUCAACCCUGGAGCUGCUUUUGAUACUGCAGGACUAGAGUCCGGGAGAGGAUAGCGGAAUUCCUAGUGUAGAGGUGAAAUUCGUAGAUAUUAGGAGGAACACCAGUGGCGAAGGCGGCUGUCUGGUCCGGUACUGACGCUGAGGUGCGAAAGC
rnacentral:rRNA from 1 species